rnacentral:tRNA from 2 species
GAGAGAUGGCUGAGCUGGUCGAAGGCGCACGAUUGGAAAUCGUGUAGGCGUUAAUAGCGUCUCGAGGGUUCGAAUCCCUCUCUCUCC